CGUGCUAGAUGGGGAAUUAGCGGUGCCCUGUAACCUGCAAUCCGCUAAAGCAGGAUCAAUCGCCAUAGUGCGGCUUAUGCUGUGCGGCAGAAAAGGUGUAAGUGAUGUUGAAGUUUCAACCCAUCGCAAUGGAUGCCCACUAAACUCCGUCAGGACCGGAAGGUAGCAGCGGUAGGUGUCGCUUUCAUGUGCCGAUGGAUUAUUGGAAUGGAGUUAACUGCUGCU
rnacentral:SRP_RNA from 1 species